AGCACCAUCUUUCCUGCUCUCGGGCCACACUAUGGGACGUGAAGAACGUAUCACCGCAGCCACUGACCGCCGCACUGCGCCGGCGCGCUGACCCGCCCUCCCCGCGCAGGCGCGGCCGGAGGGCGCAGGCGCCCCCUCUCGGCCGGAAGAAGCUGUGUCGGAGACUGGGCCGCGGAUAGGAAGGGUAGAGACCCUUUAGUGCAUCUUUAUCUCCACGGAACCCAGCGCAAUGCCUUACACGUGGAUGAGGAAAUCGAGGCAUGGAAGUGAUUAGGAAACUUAACUAAUCGCACAAUUGAUCACAUAGUAAUAAGUCUGCUAAGUGCCAUAAGGAGAAAUACAAGAUGGUGCAAGGGUGUGUAUGUGACGGGAAUCUGUGGGGUCAGAGCCGGCGUCUCCGAGGAAGUGACCUUCAGGCAGAGACCUGAGUGUGAAGCAGCAGAGAGCCAGAAGAGCUGGAGAAGAGCGUGUCCAAAGACCCAGGAGGGAAGGAGUAUGGUGGCCACGUGGCUGGAACACAGUAAGCCAGAGGGAAGGCAUUUGGGUGAAGCUGGAGAAAUGAGCAGAAGGCAGAGGCCAGACCAGGCAGGCCACGCAGGCUGCGGCAAGGUAUUGGAUUUUAUUCCAGGAGCAACAGGAAUCCACAGAAUCUAGAGUUUCGAGUGGGGAAGUACGGUGGUUGGACUUGUGUUUUUUCGGUCUGGCUGCUGGCAGCCAGUGGCAUGCAGAGGCUGGAGCAGAGGCUGAGACGAGUUGGGGGGCGCCGGAGGCAGAACAGCGGGGAGGCUGGCUCUGGUCAGGUUGGAGACAGUGGACAUGGGUUCGGGUAACAUCUCGGUACUAGCUCAAUUAUUGCCUUUCUGAGGGCGGUAAGGAAAUCACACAGCCUCUCUAGAUGGCCAUUUCGUCUCCAUUUCUACAGAGGAGAAACAUUCUUUCUCCCCUCCCAGGGAUGUCUUGGAUGCCUUAAGAUCCAGGCCCUGAAGCAGUGUGUGCUAUGGAAACACAAGUUGUUAUUAACUGGCCCACAUCCUGUCUUGCUGAGAGGUAAUGAUUUCUGGACUCUCAGUGAGGUCCCCAGAGAGAGAAACCCUUUCUUCAAGCGGGUAAGAAUUGAUUGGGUGACCGGGCCUGCACCUUGUUGCAGGGGUGGGGAGGUGGAGUCAAUUACAUUCUCUAUUAGGACGUAAAUGGGUCUCCUUUCAGCUUUAAUCCUCCCUGGCUUUAUCUCUGUUGCCAACGUUGUCAUGCCAAUGAUUUUGACACAUAAUAUUAAACUCUAAAGUGACAUUAAAAUCGGACUAUAAAAUACCUGUUGCCUGGCUCCGCUAAUGGGCCUUCUUUUUAAGUGUAGGAACGGGACACAUUGGUCCCAGUUUUAGAGACCCAAGUGUAAACAAUCAUUAACUCCUUUUAUCCUUUUGAUUACUUGGGGGUAAGAGAAACUUUCAGGUACUUUCCUCGCAUCUUAUUUGUCAAUAUUUAACAAAGAGCAUCUGUGCACCCCUCUGUUUCUCCUCCCUAGGACCCGACAUUGCCUAGCAUACACUAAAUGUUAUCUGACGGUGGCUUCAUGGGGCAGUAGAGAGCUUAGGACUGGGUUUGAAUUCCAAUGUCACCAGUUCUAAGCUGGGUAACAAAGGACAAGUCACUUAACCUUGCUAAGCCUCCAAUUCCUCAUUUGUGUAAAGGAAAUAAUGAUAACCAAUUUCAGAGGGUUCUUGAGAGAAUUAUAGAAAGUAAUAUAUGUAAAGCAUCUAGAAUAGUGCCUGACACAUAGAAGGCACAUCAUUUAAUUCCUGUCCCUGGAAUUAAAUAUCGAAAGAUAUGAUAAGGGUCACUCACCAGUUACUCAAGCACCUGGGGCUGAGCUUUUCAAGUACCGAAAAGAUCUCCUUCUGAGCUAGAAAAUUUUUUCUGGUCACCAGGGUCUCAAGAGGUUUGGAAGAUCCCACCCACCACUGACCAAAGAUCUGGCCCUAGUCUAUCUCCCUCAAACCUAAAAACUCAGGUUGGGCUGACCAGUUUUAGAAGUUAGCACCAAAGCCAGGAAGACACCUAGUGCUUUACACAUUGGGUUGCAAUCAAGUUGAGGCAGCUUAUUGCUGAUCCAAAAUCCCAUGGCAGAAAUCCAGUUAGGUUCUAUUUUAAGUGGACGGGGCCAUUUAACCCUUAUCCACCGUAUCCACCCCUCUCUAUUUCCCCCUGUUCUUUACCCCUCACCAACGCCUGUCAGUCACUGUAAGCUUGGAUCAGUAAGAGUGGGCUGAGGUGGGCGUUAUGUCCAACAGUCCUGUGGGAAGCUGCUCCAACCUAACCCUUGGCUGCUUGGCUCCCUGGUUUCCAUCCUCCCCAGCCCAGCACAGGGGAGGGGACUAUAGGGGGCACUCACGC